rnacentral:rRNA from 1 species
AACGAACGCUGGCGGCAUGCCUUACACAUGCAAGUCGAACGAGACCUUCGGGUCUAGUGGCGCACGGGUGCGUAACGCGUGGGAACCUGCCCUUAGGUUCGGAAUAACUCCCCGAAAGGGGUGCUAAUACCGGAUAAUGUCUUCGGACCAAAGAUUUAUCGCCUUUGGAUGGGCCCGCGUUGGAUUAGCUAGUUGGUAGGGUAAAAGCCUACCAAGGCGACGAUCCAUAGCUGGUCUGAGAGGAUGAUCAGCCACACUGGGACUGAGACACGGCCCAGACUCCUACGGGAAGCAGCAGUGGGGAAUAUUGGACAAUGGGCGAAAGCCUGAUCCAGCAAUGCCGCGUGAGUGAUGAAGGCCUUAGGGUUGUAAAGCUCUUUUACCCGGGAUGAUAAUGACAGUACCGGGAGAAUAAGCUCCGGCUAACUCCGUG